CAGUCAUACAAUCUACACAUACAGGUACACUGUCAGAGAAACAGACAUACAUUCAUACAGGCACAGGCACAUAGAGAAAUACAGACACAGACAGGCAUAUAGAGACAUACAUACACAGUGAUACAGAGGUAUACAUUCACAGACAGGCAUACACAGACAUACAUACACACACAGUCAUACAGAGACAUACAUACACAGACAGUCAUACAGAGACAUACAGACUAAAUGUCUCUGUAUGACUGUUUGUUUUGUGUAUGUAUGUCUGCGUAUAUACACAGGGUGGCUAAAAGAUAGAUCUCCAUAUGCCAUGAAACUUCAACAAUGCUUUGAAAGCUGGGGCUCUACCGAUUCCCCAUGCUUGCAGAAUUGUAUUUAGC